rnacentral:rRNA from 1 species
CCCCGGGGUCUGCAGUCGAUACCGGGCAGGGCUAGAGUUUCGGUUAAGGGGAGAUUCGGAAUUUCCUGGUGUAGCGGUGAAAUGCGCAGAUAAUCAGGAGGAACACCGGUGGCGAAGGCCGGGAUCUCUGGGCCGAUACUGACGCUGAGGAGCGAAAGCGUGGGGAGCGAACAGGAUUAGAUACCCUGGUAGUCCCACGCCGUAAACGGUGGGCACUAGGUGUGGGCGACAUUCCACGUCGUCCGUGCCGCAGCUAACGCAUUAAGUGCCCCGCCUGGGGAGUACGGCCGCAAGGCUAAAACUCAAAGGAAUUGACGGAGGCCCGCACAAGCGGCGGAGCAUGUGGCUUAAUUCGACGCAACGCGAAGAACCUUACCAAGGCUUGACAUACACCGCAAACGUCUGGAGACAGGCGCCCCCUUGUGGUCGGUGUACAGGUGGUGCAUGGCUGUAAAACAAAUCGUGUCGUGAGAUGUUGGGUUAAGUCCCGCAACGAGCGCAACCCUUGUCCCGUGUUGCCAGCAGGCCCUUGUGGUGCUGGGGACUCACGGGAGACCGCCGGGGUCAACUCGGAGGAAGGUGGGGACGACGUCAAGUCAUCAUGCCCCUUAUGUCUUGGGCUGCACACGUGCUACAAUGGCCGGUACAAUGAGCUGCGAUACCGCGAGGUGGAGCGAAUCUCAAAAAGCCGGUCUCAGUUCGGAUUGGGGUCUGCAACUCGACCCCAUGAAGUCGGAGUCGCUAGUAAUCGCAGAUCAGCAUUGCUGCGGUGAAUACGUU